rnacentral:rRNA from 1 species
UACGGGGGGGGCAAGCGUUGUUCGGAAUUACUGGGCGUAAAGGGCUCGUAGGCGGCCAACUAAGUCAGACGUGAAAUCCCUCGGCUUAACCGGGGAACUGCGUCUGAUACUGGAUGGCUUGAGUUUGGGAGAGGGAUGCGGAAUUCCAGGUGUAGCGGUGAAAUGCGUAGAUAUUGGGAGGAACACCAGUGGCGAAGGCGGCUCACUGGACUGGUACUGACGCUGAGACGCGAAAGCGUGGGGAGCGAACAGG